GUGAUGAAGGUCUUCGGAUCGUAAAACUCUGUUAUUAGGGAAGAACAUAUGUGUAAGUAACUGUGCACAUCUUGACGGUACCUAAUCAGAAAGCCACGGCUAACUACGUGCCAGCAGCCGCGGUAAUACGUAGGUGGCAAGCGUUAUCCGGAAUUAUUGGGCGUAAAGCGCGCGUAGGCGGUUUUUUAAGUCUGAUGUGAAAGCCCACGGCUCAACCGUGGAGGGUCAUUGGAAACUGGAAAACUUGAGUGCAGAAGAGGAAAGUGGAAUUCCAUGUGUAGCGGUGAAAUGCGCAGAGAUAUGGAGGAACACCAGUGGCGAAGGCGACUUUCUGGUCUGUAACUGACGCUGAUGUGCGAAAGCGUGGGGAUCAAACAGGAUUAGAUACCCUGGUAGUCCACGCCGUAAACGAUGAGUGCUAAGUGUUAGGGGGUUUCCGCCCCUUAGUGCUGCAGCUAACGCAUUAAGCACUCCGCCUGGGGAGUACGACCGCAAGGUUGAAAC
rnacentral:rRNA from 1 species